GUGGGGAAUUUUGGACAAUGGGCGCAAGCCUGAUCCAGCAAUGCCGCGUGGGUGAAGAAGGUCUUCGGAUCGUAAAGCCCUUUCGACAGGGACGAUGAUGACGGUACCUGUAGAAGAAGCCCCGGCUAACUUCGUGCCAGCAGCCGCGGUAAUACGAAGGGGGCUAGCGUUACUCGGAAUUACUGGGCGUAAAGGGCGCGUAGGCGGCUCUGUUAGUUAGGCGUGAAAUUCCUUGGCUUAACCUGGGGACUGCGCUUGAUACUGCAGGGCUUGAGGCCGAGAGAGGGUGGUGGAAUUCCCAGUGUAGAGGUGAAAUUCGUAGAUAUUGGGAAGAACACCGUUGGCGAAGGCGACCACCUGGCUCGGUUCUGACGCUGAGGCGCGACAGCGUGGGGAGCAAACAGGAUUAGAAACCCUAGUAGUCC
rnacentral:rRNA from 1 species